CUUACACCUGAAAAAUGUCUGCUAACACCAGAUCGUCUUGAUGCCAAACUCUAGCCCAAUCGACAUGACCUGGAAUAACAAAGCUACUUUACACACCCGACUAAAGCAUUUACUAGUCCCAGUAUAGGCGAUAGAAAAGACACUCUUGGAGCGAUAGAGACUACGUACCGUAAGGGAAAGAUGAAAUAUUAGUGAAAUAAACUAAGCUAAAAACAGCAAAGAUCAACCCUUGUACCUUUUGCAUCAUGGUCUAGCAAGAAAAACCAAGCAAAAUGAAUUUAAGUUUGCCAUCCCGAAACCCAAGCGAGCUACUUACGAGCAGCUAUUUUGAGCGCACCCGUCUCUGUGGCAAAAGAGUGGGACGACUUGUUAGUAGAGGUGAAAAGCCAAUCGAGCUGGGUGAUAGCUGGUUGCCUGUGAAACGAAUCUUAGUUCACUCUUAAUUCUUCUCCAAGGAAAACACACAAACCCUAAUGAAGCGAAUUAAGGGCAAUUUAAAGGAGGGACAGCUCCUUUAAAAAAGAAUACAAUCUCUACGAGCGGAUAAGUACUAACCCCCGAUCUUACUGUGGGCCCUCAAGCAGCCAUCAACAAAGAGUGCGUUAAAGCUCCCCCUACAAAAAUAUAAGAACAAUACGACUCCCUCACCAUUAACAGGCUAACCUAUACUUAAAUAGGAGAAUUAAUGCUAGAAUGAGUAACCUGGGUCCUCCCUCUACGACGCAAGCUUACAUCGGCACAUUAUUAACAAACCACCAAUAUACGAUAAAUCAAACAAGCAGAGUAUUAAGUACAUUGUUAACCCGACAGAGGAGCGUCCA
rnacentral:rRNA from 1 species